CUUCACUGCUCAUGUUCUCCUCAGAAGCAGUCACCUCACUCCCCUCAGGUUACUGUACACAUGCACCAACUGCCUGCUUCAGGUUUGGAUGGAGCUUCAUGGUUGUCUUUUGGAGAAAUGACCAGUCAAGUUGUGUUUGAAAUUUGAUUUUUUUCAGGGGCAAAAGGAGCCUCUGCAUUCUUGUCAAAUAUGUAAAUAGCAUGUUUUUGCAGGUGCUAAAAACCAGACUCUGAGUGUGUGUGUGCGUGUGUGUGUGUGUCUGUGUGUGUGUGUGUGUGUGUGUGCGUUCAAGUCACAUGACAUAUUUAACCGGAUGUAGCUGCAAGACGGAGCCUCGUUGACUCCGUUUCAACUUAUCUCAAAAGUGAGGACCUCAACCUAUAUACCAGUUUUUAAAUUGUGUUGAUAGGCCAAAUAAAACCAGAGUUAUGAUAAAUUAUGUCCGCGAUACUUGUUUUCUGCUUAUUUUGAUCACGUUCGGCGCUCGAUCGCGCUGUAUGAGACAGGAAAACAUAGCAUGCAGACAUUAGCGACAGGUCUUACAGGCGGAAAAGGCUUGCCAAAGGAAAAAAAAAACACACCACAACAUCUCUCCUAUUGGUGGAAAACUUCACCACAACAACCAAUCCAAAAUUAUAUGGUGACUGAUUGACAAGGGGCGGGCGCUUACGUUCUUCCUGCAAUAUGAGAAGGGAGGGAGGGACUCUCAGCAGGGAUGCAGUCUGGGACACGUAGUUGCAAACCUAGCGACUUUGUUGUUAGAUUCAAUGACUUUUCAGACCCCCUAACGACUUUUUUUUAGAAAGAAAGUGACUUUUAUCGACUUCUUCUGGAGUUUAGAGACUCUGACAUGAAGCAGGCUUUCCUUACUGAGGAGUUAGCAACGCCGCUAAGGGUGCAGAGCCACACAUGCGCUCCGAGCUCUGCAUGGGAGACUGAAGCUGACAGAGCUGCAGCAGUUAGCAGGUUUCACCCUCAGAGACCACCAGGGGUUCAUGUUGAGGCAUUUUCAGUUUUUUGUUUUUUUUUUGCCAUAGACACUGUCAGCACAAUCUGCAGUUACACUAACAAAAAUGCUGCAAAAAACAAAGAAUUAUGGAAAAAUUACACAUGGACUAACAUAGAGGAGGAUCUACACAAGUUUUUUACAUCAUGUUUUACAUCAUGCAUCAUUUACAUCAUGUUUUUUUGUAGUGGCAUAAAUAAAAAGUGACAUUUGUGAGACUAUACAGUGUUUUGUAAAUAAUUUUACAAAGAACACCUGGGCCAUUGCCUGCAUUUUGAUAUAAAUAGAGGUAAAUUACUAUGUUCUUUGUUAAAAAUUUGCAUAUGUUUUGAAGUUUACAAUUUUUAUUUGAAGUUAAAGUUUUAAAAACAGUUCAUCACACAUAUUUGUGGUUUUCACAGUAAAAACGUUACUUUUUUCCACUCGGAUUUUAUGUUUUGUGUGUGAAUUUGGGUCCAAUGUGUAAAUAUAGUAUGUCAAAAUGAUAAAAUAACUGUAAAUUGACACAGGUGAGGUUGUGCUGAAAAAAAUGAUACCAGGCAAGGCAAGGUAAAAAUUUUGUAAGAGGAAAUAUAAAGGUAAAAUCUAAAGUAGUCAAAAACGGCCAAUAGUGACUCACAGACUCCACAGUCCCUUUGGCGCCACUCAGUGGGCAAAACUACUUUGUCUACUGUAAUGUAUAUUUGGGUCAUCUUUGGCGCCCCCUAAAACGUAAACCGUGGGGUGCAGCGUCAUGAUUUUUACAACUUUGAAUGGCCAUGGAGUGUAGAUUGGCCUGAGCAAAUUUGGUGUCAGUGGGACGAAAGCCUUAGGAGGAGUUAGCGAAAUUCCAAUGUGUGCGAAUCGGCAAAAAAUGCAAAAUAGCCCUUUUACCGUACAUUAUACAGAUACGCGCUCUUUGACUUUUUCGUAGAUCUAAUUGAGAUACACAUGAUUGUCAAUUUUUGUGUCAUUUUGCCAAAGCGUACAGGCGUGACACUCAACAAUGUGUAUUUUCACCUUAGGGGACAAGAAAAAAUGGACUUUUUUCUCCUGCCAUGGGGGGGCGCUCGUUUAGGGAGUAAAAAUUCCUUCACAAGUGUGUUGAUGGCUGGACAUUGCAUCAUCCUAGAGAACUUGGAGGCCAGUGAGGACAAAAAUAAAAAGUUAUAAGACUUUUAAGACUGUGGAUUUUUGGGUUAUCUUUGGCGCCCCCUAGAACCUAAACCGUGGGGUGCAGCGUCAUGAUUUGUACAACUUUGAAUGGCCAUGGGUUGUAGAUUGGCCUGAGCAACUAUGGUGUCAGUGGGACGAAAGCCUUCGGAGGAGUUAGCGAAAUUCCAAUGUGUGCGAAUCGGCAAAAAAUGCAAAAUAGCCCUUUUACCGUACAUUAUACAGAUACGCGCUCUUUGACUUUUUCGUAGAUCUAAUUGAGAUACACAUGAUUGUCAAUAUUUGUGUCAAUAUGACAAAGAGUUCAGGCGUGACACUCAACAAUGUGUAUUUUCACCUUAGGGGACAAGAAAAAAUUGACUUUUUUCUCCUACCAUGGGGGGGCGCUCUUUUGGGGAGUAAAAAUUCCUUCACAAAUGUAUUGAUGGCUGGACAUUGCAUCAUCCUAGAAAACUUGGAGGCCAGUGAGGACAAAAAUAAAAAGUUAUAAGACUUUUAAAUAUUUGGAUUUUAGGGUUAUCUUUGGCGCCCCCUAAAACCUAAACCGUGGGGUGCAGCGUCAUGAUUUUUACAACUUUUAAUGGCCAUGGGGUGUAGAUUGGCCUGAGCAAAUUUGGUGCCGGUGGAACGAAAGCCUUCGGAGGAGUUAGCGAAAUUCCAAUGUGUGCGGAUCGGCAAAAAAUGCAAAAUAACCCUUUAACCGUACAUUUGACAGAUACGCGCGCAUUGACUUUUUCGUAGAUCUUAUUGAGAUACACGUGCGUGUCAAUUUUUGUGUCAAUAUGACAAAGCGUUUAGGCGUGACACUCAACAAUGUGUAUUUUCAUGUUAGGGGACAAGAAAAACUUGACUUUUUUCUUCUGCCAUGGGGGGGCGCUCUUUUGGGGAGUAAAAAUUCCUUCACACAUGUGUUGAUGGCUGGACAUAGCAUCAUCCUAGAAAACUUGGAGGCCAGUGAGGACAAAAAUAAAAAGUUAUAAGACUUUUAAGAAUGUGGACUUUUGGGUUAUCUUUGGCGCCCCCUAGAACAUAAACCGUGGGGUGCAGCGUCAUGAUUUGUACAACUUUUAAUGGCCAUGGGGUGUAGAUUGGCCUGAGCAAAUUUGGUGCCGGUGGAACGAAAGCCUUCGGAGGAGUUAGCGAAAUUCCAAUGUGUGCGGAUCGGCAAAAAAUGCGAAAUAGCCCUUUAACCGUACAUUUGACAGAUACGCCCGCACUGACUUUUUUGUAGAUCUUAUUGAGAUACACAUGUGUGUCAAAUUUUGUGUCAUUUUGACAAAGCGUACAGGCGUCAGGUGAGUUUUCACCAUAGGGGGCGCUAUGGAGCCAUUUUUCAUUUUUUUGUUUGGGCGACUUCAGAAUAUCAAAUUUUUCACCAGGCCCGGUCGUCCUGCCAAAUUUCCUGAGUUUUCGCCAGUGGGAAGUGGGCCAUUUUCCAGUUUAAAGCGGAGGAAAAAUAACGAAAGAAGAAUCCAUCAGGACCAAGAGGGCUCUCGCAGCUGCUUAGCAGCUACGCUCGGGCCCUAAAAAGUUAUAAGACUUUUAAAAAUGUGGAUUUUUGGGUUAUCUUUGGUGCCCCCUAGAAUGUAAACCGUGGGGUGCAGCGUCAUGAUUUGAAUAACUUUUAAUGGCCAUGGGGUGUAGAUUGGCCUGAGCAAAUGUGGUGCCGGUGGAACGAAAGCCUUCGGAGGAGUUAGCGAAAUUCCAAUGUGUGCGAAUCGGCAAAAAAUGCGGAAUAACCCUUUAACCGUACAUUUGACAGAUACGCGCGCACUAACUUUUUUGUAGAUCUUAUUGAGAUACAUGUGUGUGUCAAUUUUUGUGUCAUUUUGACAAAGCGUACAGGCGUGACACUCAACAAUGUGUAUUUUCACCUUAGGGGACAAGAAAAAAUGGACUUUUUUCUCCUGCCAUGGGGGGGCGCUCUUUUGGGGAGUAAAAAUUCCUUCACAAAUGUGUUGAUGGCUGGACAUUGCAUCAUCCUAGAAAACUUGGAGGCCAGUGAGGGCAAAAAUCAAAAGUUAUAAGACUUUUAAAAAUGUGGAUUUUAGGGUUAUCUUUGGCGCCCCCUAGAACGUAAACCGUGGGGUGCAGCGUCAUGAUUUGAAUAACUUUUAAUGGCCAUGGGGUGUAGAUUGGCCUGAGCAAAUGUGGUGCCGGUGGAAUGAAAGCCUUCGGAGGAGUUAGCGAAAUUCCAAUGUGUGCGGAUCGGCAAAAAAUGCGAAAUAGCCCUUUAACCGUACAUUUGACAGAUACGCCCGCACUGACUUUUUUGUAGAUCUUAUUGAGAUACAUGUGUGUGUCAAUUUUUGUGUCAUUUUGACAAAGCGUACAGGCGUGAAAGUCAAUAGUGUGAAUUUUCACCUUAGGGGGCGCUAUGGAGCCAUUUUGCAUUUUCUUGUUUGGGCGACUUCGGAAUAUCAAAUUUUUCACCAGGCCCGGUCGUCCUGCCAAAUUUCAUGAGUUUUCGCCAGUGGGAAGUGGGCCAUUUUCCAGUUCAAAGGGGAGGAAAAAGAAACUAGGGCCCCGUUGGGGCACUGGCGGGCCCGAGCUGUGUCGCGCCCCCCCCCCAACGCGCUGCCUCCCCGUCCCAUUCGCGUCCUCUGGCCAUCGUCCUCUCUGGUAACGCCCAUCACUGCAAAGACCCUUUUCCUUCAUCGGCGUUUGCUGUUCUUCCUGCCAGUGCGUGUUGCUUUCACUUACACUUGCCACAGCCAGCCUCGUGAGUGCCUAGCCUAUUGGAUAUUACUGUCACCUACACAGGACAGUCAUUACCUUUCUAUUAAUACUUUGUUUUUUAAUUUCACAUUAAUUUCCAUAUUGUAUAAACGACUGGAAAAAACUUGAGCCCCUGCCCCUGUAUAAUCAUGUGCACGUCCCUGUUCUCGCUCCAAGGUGAAUCUUCACUGCUCAUGUUCUCCUCAGAAGCAGUCACCUCACUCCCCUCAGGUUACUGUACACAUGCACCAACUGCCUGCUUCAGGUUUGGAUGGAGCUUCAUGGUUGUCAUUUGGAGAAAUGAACAGUCAAGUUGUGUUUGAAAUUUGAUUUUUUUCGGGGCAAAAGGAAGCCUCUGCAUUCUUGUCAAAUAUGUAAACAGCAUGUUUUUGCAGGUGCUAAAAAACAGACUCUGAGUGUGUGUGUGUGUGUGUGUGUGUGUGUGUGUGUGUG